rnacentral:rRNA from 1 species
UACGGAGGGUGCAAGCGUUUAUCCGGAUUCACUGGGUUUAAAGGGUGCGUAGGUGGGUUGGUAAGUCAGUGGUGAAAUCUCCGAGCUUAACUUGGAAACUGCCAUUGAUACUAUCAGUCUUGAAUACCGUGGAGGUCAGCGGAAUAUGUCAUGUAGCGGUGAAAUGCUUAGAUAUGACAUAGAACACCAAUUGCGAAGGCAGCUGACUA